AUCUAAACUCGUGUUCCUUCUUCUCAAUUAAAUAAGGAAGGAUAUUAGUAGCAGUGAUAGUAUAUGGACAUCUCUCUAUAAAUUGUUGCAUGCAAGAAUGAACUGAUACAACACAAAUUGAAUAUAAUUAAGCUGUUAAUAACAAACAAACAAUUCUAGUUGUUUCUUUCUUUUGAUCAAACAAUGGCUUAUGUUAAGCUCGCUAUUUUCGCUGUCUUCCUGCUUACCGCAUUCCUAAUAUUCCCGAUGAAAAACGCAAAAGAAAGUUGUUCGGUCGUAGGUCGUCAUUGUUCACUAUAUGGGGCGCCACCAUGCAGCGGUGGAUAUUGUUAUUGUAGACCAUGGGCUUUGGGAUUAUAUGUGGGUUUUUGCGCAAGUCUGUAAUGAAUCAUAUAUAGGCCCCGAAGAAUAUAAUAAUCCAAGUUUCAUUAGUUAAGUUAGGUGAUUAAUCAUGUUUUAGAAUGAUCUAGAUGAAAUGAAUUGACAAGUUAUUGGUUAGUUUGUUAGGAUUAACCAAGCCUAUAAAUAAAUGCAUGAGGUGAAUAUAAUGAUCAAGCAAAAUAAAUGAAAAGAGUUAGUUAUGUUAGCUUAGUGUAGUUUGUUAAUAAUUUUUAGCAAUCAUCCAUUCCAUUUAUGAACAACUAAAAAAUUGUUCAUAAGAAUUGGUGCUCUCAUUUCCAUGAAUUCCCCUCCCUACCAUUACUACCUUGACUAUGAUCCUACUAUCAUCAACACUAGCUCAUACCUUGUUGAAACCUCAAGCUUAUCAACACUCAACCUACAUCAACACUCCACCACCACACUUGAGCCAAUACAUUUCUCCACCAUCCAUGAACACUCAUAUUUCACCAACACUCAUAUUUCAUUACCUCACCUCCAUGAUGACCUCAGAUCCGGUCUCCAACAACUGUUCCAAAGUCAACAAAAAAUCCAACAAAAAUUUCAAAUGAAGUCAAACUAGUUGCAAAUGAAAGCUAACAUCCAUAGCUACAACUCUCAUGAAGACAUGAAAUUCCAAUUCGGAGUGAAAUAUAACUCAAUUCUUCGUUUUUCUCCCAGGCGCUAUCUUGCCACGCCUAGGCGCAACUCUGGUCACUCCAACAUGAUUCAACACUGCCUUGUCAUGCCCAGGCGCCACUCUAUCACGCCUAGCCAUAGAUCUGAUUUCUGUUUGCCACGUCAGCCACGCCCAGGCACCACUCUGCUUCGCCCAGACGCAGAUCCUGCGUUUUUAAUGUCUAUAUAAGCCCAAAAGUCAUAUUUUAUUAGGGUUAUGAGAUUUUUACAUAUAAUUAAGAAAAACACUCUGCUAGGAUUUGAGAGAAGUCGUUGUUCGACAACAAACAUUGGAAUUGAAGCUUCUCAACAUCGAUCUUAUAUGUAAUUCUUCCACUUUUCUUGAUUAUUUGUAAUUUCUCAUGAGUAAUUAAGUUCUCUAUUGUUAGGGAUAUUAUCUCAAUAAAGUGCUUUCAUAAGCUA